rnacentral:rRNA from 1 species
ACGCUCGACACCUACGGGAGGCAGCAGUCGGGAAUAUUGCGCAAUGGAGGAAACUCUGACGCAGUGACGCCGCGUAUAGGAAGAAGGUUUUCGGAUUGUAAACUAUUGUCGUUAGGGAAGAUACAAGACAGUACCUAAGGAGGAAGCACCGGCUAACUAUGUGCCCGCAGUCGCGGUAAUCUGAGCGGGCUGCAAGGC